UAGGUGUAGGCGUAGCGAAAGCGAGUCUUAAUAGGGCGACUAAGUUUGUUGGAUUAGACCCGAAACCGAGUGAUCUAGGUAUGAGCAGGUUGAAGGUGCAGUAACAUGCACUGGAGGACCGAACCCACGCCUGUUGAAAAAGGCGGGGAUGACUUGUGCCUAGGGGUGAAAGGCCAAUCAAACUCGGAGAUAGCUGGUUCUCCGCGAAAACUAUUUAGGUAGUGCGUCUGGUAUUACCGCCGGGGGUAGAGCACUGAAUGGGCUAGGGGGGCGCGAGCCUUACCAAACCUAAUCAAACUCCGAAUACCGGUGAGUAGAGCCAGGCAGACAGACUACGGGUGCUAAGGUCCGUGGUCGAGAGGGAAACAGCCCAGACCGCCGUCUAAGG
rnacentral:rRNA from 1 species